UUUAGUCAGGCAACGAGCGAGACCCGUGCCCACUGUUGCCAGCAUGUCCUCCGGGAUGAUGGGUACUCUGUGGGGACCGCCGGUGUUAAAUCGGAGGAAGGUGCGGGCUACGAUAGGUCAGUAUGCCCCGAAUUUCCCGGGCUACACGCGGGCUACAAUGAAUGGGACAAUGGGUCCCUCCCCUGAAAAGGGCUGGUAAUCUCACAAACCCAUCCUUAGUUCGGAUCGAGGGCUGUAACUCGCCCUCGUGAAGCUGGAAUCCGUAGUAAUCGCGUUUCAAUAUAGCGCGGUGAAUACGUCCCUGCUCCUUGCACA
rnacentral:rRNA from 1 species